UCCGGUUUGGCACCGGCAGUCUCCAAUGAGUCCCCGGCAUUACCCGCUGGCAACAUUGGACAGGGGUUGCGCUCGUUGCGCCACUUAAGGCAACACCUCACGGCACGAGCUGACGACAGCCAUGCAGCACCUGUGCAGGCUCCCGAAGGAGCACCGGCUUUCACCGGUUUCACCCUGCAUGUCAAGCCCUGGUAAGGUGGGGAUGACGUGUCCUUGAUAGG
rnacentral:misc_RNA from 1 species